rnacentral:tRNA from 1 species
CGGGGUGUAGCUCAGUUGAUAGAGUGCACGGUUCGGGACCGUGAGGCCGGCGGUUUAAGUCCGCCCACCCCGACCA